rnacentral:rRNA from 1 species
CCUACGGGAGGCAGCAGUGGGGAAUAUUGGGCAAUGGAGGCAACUCUGACCCAGCAACGCCGCGUGCAUGCUGAAGGUCUUCGGAUUGUAAAGCUCUUUUCUAAGGGAAGAAGUAAGUGACUGUACUUUAGGAAUAAGCCUCGGCGCACUACGUGCCAGCAGCCGCGGUAAUACGUAGGAGGCAAGCGUUAUCCGGAAUGACUGGGCGUAAAGGGUGCGUAGAUGUUUUGACAAGUUAGUAGCGAAACUCCGGGGCUCAACUUCGGAACUACUACUAAAACUGUUGGACUUGAGUGCAGGAGGGGCAAUCGGAAUUCCUAGUGUAGCGGUGGAAUGCGUAGAUAUUAGGAGGAACACCAGUGGCGAAGGCGGAUUGCUAGACUGUAACUGACGCUGAGGCACGAAAGCGUGGGGAGCAAACAGGAUUAGAUACCCCUGUAGUC